rnacentral:sRNA from 1 species
GCUGGGUAUGGUGGUGCACACCUGUAAUCCCAGCAACUGGGGAUGCUGAGGCAGGAGGACUGCAAGUUUGAGGGCAACCUUAGCAACUUAGUGAGACCCUGUCUCAA